rnacentral:rRNA from 1 species
UACGUAGGGUGCAAGCGUUAUUCGGAUUCACUGGGCGUAAAGGGUGCGCAGGCGGCCAGGUGUGUUAGGCGUGAAAACUCGGGGCUUAACCCCGGGCCUGCAGUGGGUACGGGCAGACUAGAGUGCGGUAGGGGUGACUGGAAUUCCUGGUGUAGCGGUGGAAUGCGCAGAUAUCAGGAGGAACACCGAUGGCGAAGGCAGGUCACUGGGCCGCAACUGACGCUGAGGAGCGAAAGCAUGGGGAGCGAACAGG